CUUAAUCCAUCUGAUGUCCUCAAGCUUUUGCACUCUCUUCUAACCAUAAUUGAUUCAAGGGGAGCAAUCUUGGCAUGUGCCCUCCCUUGGCUAAAACGUUUACUUCUUCAACAUGCAAGUGGAAUAAUGUCCCAGGAUUCUUCUUUGCUUGCCCUGAACUCUUUAUAUCAGCUAAUUGAAUCCAGAAUCUCAACUUUCCAAUCAGCUAUUCAGCUGUCAAGUUGCUUAGACUUGCUCUAUGCAGGGGUGGUUGAUGAUGCAUCAGAAGAAAAUGAAACAGUAAUUCCAGUAAUUUAUGAAGACAAGGAUGAAAGUGAUGAACAAGAAUCUGAUGA
rnacentral:misc_RNA from 1 species